ensembl:lncRNA
UUACAUUAACCUAACAUGUAUCAGGGUUAUGCUGAAUGAUGUGACUGCUGUCCUGACAUGUUGAUGUGUUGUUUCUCUCUAUAGAAUUGGAAAAACAAAUAGAUGAGAUGGUAAGUGUUAUUACUGGUUUGAUACAGAACACAAUAAUAUGUGUGAACCUAGCUGGCAGUGGUGGAGUUAUUAGAUGAUGACCAGAGGUGGAUUAACACCCAGGCUAGCCUCGGCUGAGCCUAGGGGCCCAGGUGUGCAAGGGGCCCUGGAUGGGCCAGACUAUUUUCAAUUUUACUUAAAAUAAAAAAAUACUUGACCCCUAUUGGCCCAUAACAAGAACCAUUAAAAAGUGAAGC